rnacentral:lncRNA from 1 species
GAGGUGUGCUAAGCAUCAUCUCGUGGGACCCAACAACGGUAAAGAGAAGCUUCAUUUGGUGGGUUCGAAUUGUAUCUUCUGUGCAAAAGAAUGACUCCCUUUCUUCUGCGAUGUCCACUAAGACAGCUAUGGAGAAAAGAUUGAGUGCUAUAAACGCUGUGCAUAUCUUGAUCCAACGAUUGAUGCUGCAACGAUUGAUGUUGCAAAAAAUUCAAUCAUUCUUUCACGUGAAAGACAUAGCUCGGAAGAGUUGUUUCUUAAUUUGAUAUUUUCAUUAAAUAUUUUUUUUAAUUUUGAUGUC